rnacentral:misc_RNA from 1 species
GUUCCACGAGCUUAUUUGCAAGUUUUAAAAUACAAGAAACGAAAUUUGAAAAGAAAAGGAAACGAAUAUUGUUUCCUAUCGAGAAGAAUACUAAUUCGUAUUGUAGAAUUAUUCAUUCUGAUAAAGUAUUCAUAUUCAUAUAUACAAAGGAGAAAAUUAAUAAUUAUUCAAAUAAACGAUCGGUUGAUCGAUUCAUUGAUCCAUUGAACAGGGGGUUGAUCGUCUUGAACGUGCGUUACGGAUUUUCGUGCGUUUUUCACAACCGAUUUUAUAGUCUAAAAACAUAAAACGCAAAACAAAGAGUGCAACGGAUAUUACGCAUUCUUAGGGUAUGAAAAUUGAAUUUUUUAUUUCUUUUGGAUAAUAUUUUUACCACCCCACGUUACUGAAGUUACCAAAUUGUUUUACUUCUUUUUAUUCGUUCUUCGUUUCUCAUUUCCUUUUUCUCUCCUUCUGUCAACUCUUCAAAUCGUUGUGCUGCGGAGUGAAUCAACAAAUCAAACGAGAGUAAAUACGUACACGUUAAUAACCGUUGACCUUUUUAACAGGACAGAUUAUAACGAUAAUAAUAAUGAUGAUGAUGAUGAUCGACGCGAAAUAUUAUUAAAUAUCAUGAAUACGAUGAGGCUGAGAUGAAAUAUUUAAUUAAACACUGUGCGAUUGCUUUCGAGUGCAGUUGAAAUGAAAAAAAAAAGGAGAACGAUGAAACGAAAGUAAAAUAAACAAGGAGUAAUCAAAAUUUUCGAAAUAAAAAAAUAGAAAAGUGGUGCGAAAUUAAUCGUUGGAGAGGAAUUCAUUAAAAGAAACAAAACUUUUCAACCCUCUUGCGUGUGCAAAAUAUAAUAGAAUCUGACGGAGCAUUAUAUGUAUAUACUUAUGUGUACCUACAUACCUAUUGGUAUACCGUUGGGACGACGAUAAUUCGCAAUCGACAAAGCUACCUGUACCAUAAGAUAAUCUGGAACAGAGAUAAAGAGACCAAGGGAGAGUGUAGAAGAGAAACAAGAAAAGGGAAGAAAUGUUGAAUGAAAUCGACGUCCUGCGGCUGCAGGAUAUGAGGGAGAUAGAAGAUGACAAUUAUUCACUGAGCGAACGAGAUAUGAAAAAGAAAAAGGAGAUACUAAUCAAGGUACGACUUAUGGAGUUAUCCGAAGAAGAAUGAACAAAUAAAAAACGUAAGGAAGAGACAAAAAUCAAAAAAAUGGAAUAUAACUACAAUACAACGGGGGUGAUGAUAAUGAUGAUGAUGCAGAAUUCGGAGGAUUUAAAUUCAACAAAUGAUUCGCUGUCGAGUAAUAUGAUAAACUAUAUAGAGAGUGAUUCGGAAAAUGGUACGAGAAAGAUCGAAAAUUUGAAAACCGAAACGGAAGAAAGUGAACUGGAAUACGUGCUAUUGCAAGUUGUAAAAGCUUCUGUAAUGUCGUUUAUAAUAUUAUGCGCCCUGUUCGGUAAUUUAUUGGUAAUAGUGUCGGUAAUGAGACAUAGAAAAUUACGCGUUAUAACGAAUUAUUUCGUGGUGUCGUUGGCACUGGCUGAUAUGUUGGUGGCGAUAUUCGCUAUGACGUUCAACGCGAGUGUUGAAUUAUCGGGUAAAUGGUUGUUCGGUUAUUUUAUGUGCGACGUGUGGAACUCGUUGGAUGUAUUUUUUAGCACGGUAUCCAUACUCCAUCUCUGUUGCAUAAGCGUCGAUCGUUAUUACGCGAUCGUUCAACCGCUCGAUUACCCCUUAAUAAUGACUAACCUGAGAUUAGGUACGAUGUUAAGUGUCGUUUGGUGUUCACCGGCAGUCGUGAGUUUCGUACCGAUAUUCGCCGGAUGGUACACAACCCCCGAACAUCUCCAAUAUCGCAUGAACUAUCCGGACGUUUGUGGUCUCCAAGUUAAUAAAUCAUACGCUAUCGUCAGUUCGAGCGUCAGUUUCUGGGUGCCAGGAAUAAUAAUGAUCGCGAUGUACUACAAAAUAUAUCAAGAGGCCGAUCGUCAGGAAAGGAUGCUUUAUCGAACAAAAAUACCCCCUGCAGGAUUUUGUAGUCUGGUAGUACCCGACAAUGAGAGACGCGGGCCUUGCAGGCUUCAGAGAAAAAAGAAAAAACGCAUAAAAAAUAGGAGUAAAGUGGCUGCGGCCUUGCUGAACAAACAUCUUCAAAUAAACGGGAUUUCAGCAGGACUGACAUCUCUGCCUUCCGUUGGUCAAUCUUCUCCAGAACCAGCCCCGGAAGAUCCACCCAUAGCGAGUAGCAGUAAGAUGAAAAGGGAGAGGAAAGCUGCGAGGACACUCGGUAUUAUUAUGUCCGCGUUUCUUGCCUGCUGGCUUCCAUUUUUUCUCUGGUACUUGAUAACGGCGUUAUGCGACACUUGCCAGAGUGGAAAUAUAGUUGUGGCAGCGGUAUUCUGGGUUGGUUAUUUCAACAGUGCGUUGAAUCCCUUGAUUUACGCAUAUUUCAAUCGUGAAUUCAGAGCAGCAUUUCGUAAAACGUUGGAAAGUUGCUGUGCCGCAUUUAGUCCUGUUAAAUUAGACAUCGGACAUCGUAACAGAAAACAAGAUUUAGUUCACAGUAACGCAUCGUCCGAACUCCACGUUAAUAAUCAGCUACAGAGACCAAGCGAAUUAACGAACGUACACAUAGAGGCUUGUAUCUAAUCAAUUCAAUCAUUACUACCAUCGUCGAUUCAAUAAUUGUUAUUAUUAUUUAUUAUUUCAUUUUAUUUUUCAUUUCAUUUUUGUCAUUCCUUUCUCAUGGCCAAGUCCGCCUGCUGCCGAGACGAAGGGGAUGAAAAAGAUAGCGCAUGUAGGACGACGUUACAAAGCAGUCAUCUUGAAACGAAGUUCAGUUACACACACACACACACACAUUAUCAUCAUCUUACACGUGCGUGUUAUAAAUUCUUGAGGCAUUUGGAUUAUACCACGGUUGAUUGGACUCUGAGGACUUUAGGACCCAUCCGGCCUUGGCAAUCUAGAAGAUUUUCAAUCGCGUCUCAACCAUAUACCCGUACAUCUACACGUUAAGUACCGAAAACGUCGCGUGUCGUGAGUUCGCAAAUUCCCAACGGAGUUUGCUUGAGACUAAAAUAUUUAUUACACAGGGAAAAUAUGCCAUAGGGUCGCGUCUUAUACAUAUACAUACAUGGUAGGUAAUUUAUUCAUAAAUGUGUGAGAAAUAUGACCCCUCCGAAUUUUAGGGUUUCCUUUUUUUCUGAGGUAAAAAGGAAAAGAUUAUACCCUAUAUAUAUUCGGAAAAAAGACGAAG